GUCCACGCCAUAAACGAUGACAACUAGAUGUUGGGAGGGUUAGCCUCUCGGUGUCGUAGCUAACGCGUUAAGUUGUCCGCCUGGGGAGUACGGCCGCAAGGUUGAAACUCAAAGGAAUUGACGGGGACCCGGCACAAGCGGUGGAGCAUGUGGUUUAAUUCGAUGCAACGCGAAGAACCUUACCUGGUCUUGACAUCUGUCGAAAUCCUGCAGAGAUGUGGGAGUGCCUUCGGGAACGAUAAGACAGGUGCUGCAUGGCUGUCGU
rnacentral:rRNA from 1 species